UCGUGAUCGCAGCCAGGUAGCAGCUGUGUGGUGAAUGUGCAGUGCCCUAUGUGUGUAUGUGUGUGCGUAUGCCUAUGUAUAUAUAUACAACGAUCUCAACAGUUGCAAAAGAAACGGAUCCGCAUGCGAUGCAGUGACUGUGUAAACAGCAAUCCGCAUGCAGUGAAGAAUGCAGUACAGUGACUGUGUAAACAGCAAUCCGCAUGCAGUGAAGAAUGCAGUACAGUAGCUGUGCAAACAGUGAUCCGCGUGAAGAGAAGAGUGCAGAGAAGAAUGU
rnacentral:lncRNA from 1 species